GACGAACGCUGGCGGCGUGCUUAACACAUGCAAGUCGAACGGAAAGGCCCUGCUUUUGUGGGGUGCUCGAGUGGCGAACGGGUGAGUAACACGUUAGUAACCUGCCCUUUACUUUGGGAUAACUUCAGGAAACUGGGGCUAAUACCGGAUAGGAGCUCCUGCUGCAUGGUGGGGGUUGGAAAGUUUCGGCGUUUGGGGAUGGACUCGCGGCUUAUCAGCUUGUUGGUGGGGUAGUGGCUUACCAAGGCUUUGACGGGUAGCCGGCCUGAGAGGGUGACCGGCCACAUUGGGACUGAGAUACGGCCCAGACUCCUACGGGAGGCAGCAGUGGGGAAUAUUGCACAAUGGGCGGAAGCCUGAUGCAGCAACGCCGCGUGCGGGAUGACGGCCUUCGGGUUGUAAACCGCUUUCGCCUGUGACGAAGCGUGAGUGACGGUAAUGGGUAAAGAAGCACCGGCUAACUACGUG
rnacentral:rRNA from 1 species